UUCAAACUUUUCUUUUGUGAAAAUCUGAUUUCACUCGCCUAUUAAAGUUAAUUGAUUUCUUUCGUUGUUUUGCCUUACUGAAUCCUUUCCAAAACAAGUAUAUUCAUGUACUUUGACAUAAUCACUUACUCGAUGGUUUUACUACUUCUUUUAUGGAAAUAAUCAGUCUGCCAAUAAAUUGAUUUCUUUCCUUAUUUUGAAUCUAUCACUACCCGUUAAGAAAGUGAUCCCUUAAUUAAAGGA
rnacentral:lncRNA from 1 species